rnacentral:lncRNA from 1 species
UUGGGAGAGCACUGAGGAUCUCCUAAGUAUCUUUUUAUCAUCGUGAAUGUUCACUUUGUUUAAAAAACAAUUUGUGAAAAGUUCAUUUGUUUAAAACAAUGACAUUUUAUCAAUUAAAAACAUGCAAAACGUUUGUUGAAUGGAAACAAAUCAGAGUGCAAAUAAUUGGAUAAAGGCUCAAAUUUAUUUGAUGGAAUGGUAGCCUGCAAAUGGCAAGACUCCAUAGAUUUUUACAAGUUUGAAAUUGGUGAUAUAUAUUGGAAAAGGGCUACAUUGAAC